CUUGGGCCCAGAGGUUGAGGCUACAGUGAGCUGUGUUCAUGCCACUGCACUCCAGCUGGAGCGACAAAGUGAAACUUUGUCUCAAACAAGAAAACAACAACAAAAAAACUUGAUUUUUACCCUGAAGCCUGUUUCUGCUCCAAUAUUUUCCAUUCAGUACAUAGCAUAAUCAAGAAACCUUGGUUUUGCCUUUAAGUUUCCCUUUAUCCCUUCCGUAUGGAAUCCAUUGGAAAGUUUUGUUCCAGUUCUGAUUGUAAAAUAUUAAUAUAUUAAUGUAUCUCCAGCUGACCUACCUCUUCCCAUCUCUGUGGCCACGCCACUAAUACGUCUUAUUCUGAACUACAGCAAUGGCAUCUUUAUGGUCACUUUUUUUUCCUCUCUUGCCCCUGUUCUAUCCAUUUCCUAUAUAGUGGCCAGGGUGAUCUUUUAAAAAUAUAAACCUGAUUAUAUCACACCCUUGCUUACAGCCCUCCACAGGCUUUCUGUUGCUCUUAGAAUAAAAUCUAAAUUCCUUACCUUGUCUUACAAAGUCCUGUAUAAACUAGAUCGUGCUUAUCUUUUCAGAUUCCUGUCUCCCUCACUUUCUUGUGUCUCUCUCUGCCUUCUUCAAUUCCGUAAAUACUUCAAGUUUUUUCUAGUCUUGGGAUCGUUAUGCAUGCUGUUCCCUUUGUUCUUCAGUAGCUUGAUCUUUCUCAUCUUCUUGAUUCCCGAAAGAGGCUUCCUAAGAGAAGUGAUGCCCAAGACAUUAAAACAUGAAUGGGCGUUAGAUGAAGACAAAAGAGCAUUCCAUCGUAGAAGACAAUGUAGCAUGUGACGGUAAAGAUUUCCCAAGACCAAAAAGCUUAGGAGCACUGCCCCAUUCCACUGUUCUGCUGCUGGUUUUGCUUUGACUCUCCCAGAGGAAAACCGGGGUUGUCACUGGAAGUUCCUGAAGUAAUCUCCUUUUUUAGCAAACUUUUCAUUAUUACACUAUUUGGGUCAUGGUACAACUUUGCUGAAUUGCCUUGAACUGAAGUAUUGGAUUUUUACUUUAAUUUAUCCUGUGAUUAUGCUGAUUUUGCUUCACUGAUAUUCUGUCAUGUCCUUAGAUUUCUAAUGAAACUGCUCAGAAAUCAACCAGGUAAAAUUUUAUGGGAAAGUUAGGUGGGGAACUAGCACUUGGUUAUGUUUGUAUAAAAAGAAACCCACAAAAUUUUUUCUCAAAACAGUGUUUCUGGUUGUCAAAUGAAAUAGGGGAGCAAUUAGACUUCUGUCUGGUGAGUAGAUUAAAAUAUUUCUGCUGACUGCUAUUGUGUCCUUUCUGUACCUCUGAGGUAUCAUUCAGAUACUUGGCUGUCCUCUGAUGGAAUAAGAAGAAUCUGUGGUUGAAAUAUUUUGACUAUAGUACUUGCUGACAAAAGGCAAAAACCCUUUUAACAAUUAGAAAAAUUACUCUGGCUAAAGUUUCAUAUAUGCCAGGAAUAUUUGAAAUAGACCUUAUUUUUUUGAAAACUGACAAUAUAACCACUAUAAUGAACCACAAUGCCAUAAAAAUAUUUCUGCAUAAUAGUUAAUAUGAAAUGCCUUUAAAAGUUUUAGUACUGGGAUUUGUAGCGGAAGCAUAAAAUGCAAUGUGAAGAACAUUUCUCAGACAUUAGUUUAAUGCUAUUAAUUUGUACUUAGAUUUCAAAAUCUAUAGAUGCAAUUUUACUACCAAUUAUUUUCUUCAAACUAUUUUUAAAAUACCUAUGAUGCUUAAAUUUUCACUUCUGUAGUACAGUCCUCUCUCUAUAUCUGGGGGAAUUGCUUCCAGAACUACUCAGAUACCAAAAUUCAUGAAUGCUCAAGUCCCUGAUACAAAAUGGCAUAGUAUUUGCAUAUAACCUACACACAUCCUCCUAACAGUUUAAAUAAUCUCUACAUUAUUUAUUAAUAUGAUACCUAAUACAAUGUAAUGUUAUAUAAAUAAUUGUACCAU
rnacentral:lncRNA from 10 species